rnacentral:miRNA from 1 species
UUCUUAUAUUGUGGGACAGAG